GCUUCCGUGGCGCAAUUGGUUAGCGCGUUCGGCUGUUAGCAUUAGCUACUAGCUACCGAGAGGUUGCCAGUUCGACCCUGGCCGGGAGCG